rnacentral:rRNA from 1 species
GACGAACGCUGGCGGCGUGCUUAACACAUGCAAGUCGAGCGGUAAGGCCCUUUCGGGGGUACACGAGCGGCGAACGGGUGAGUAACACGUGGGUGACCUGCCUUUAGCUCUGGGAUAAGCCUGGGGAAACUGGGUCUAAUACCGGAUAUGACUCCGCGGUGCAUGCUGUGGGGUGGAAAGCCUUGUGCGGCUGGAGAUGGGGCCCGCGGCCUAUCAGCUUGUUGGUGGGGUGAUGGCCUACCAAGGCGACGACGGGUAGCCGGCCUGAGAGGACGAUCAGCCACACUGGCACUGCGACACGGGCAGACUCCUACGGGAGGCAGCAGUAAGGAAUAUUGCGCAAUGGGCAAAGCCUGACGCAGCGACGCCGCGUGGGGAUGAAGGUCUUCGGAUUGUAAACCCUUUCGGGAGGGAAGAUGGAACGAGCAAUCGUUCGGACGGUACCU